rnacentral:rRNA from 1 species
AUUGAACGCUGGCGGCAGGCCUAACACAUGCAAGUCGAACGGUAACAGGAAGCAGCUUGCUGCUUUGCUGACGAGUGGCGAACGGGUGAGUAAUGUCUGGGAAACUGCCCGAUGGAGGGGGAUAACUACUGGAAACGGUAGCUAAUACCGCAUAACGUCGCAAGACCAAAGAGGGGGACCUUAGGGACUCUUGCCAUCGGAUGUGCCCAGAUGGGAUUAGCUAGUAGGUGGGGUAACGGCUCACCUAGGCGACGAUCCCUAGCUGGUCUGAGAGGAUGACUAGCCACACUGUAACUGAGACACGGUCCAGACUCCUACAGUAGGCAGCGGUGCGGAAUAUUGCACAAUGCGGGCAAGCCUGAUGCAGCCAUGCCGCGUGUAUGAAGAAGGCCUUCGGGUUGUAAAGUACUUUCAGCGGGGAGGAAGUGAGUAAAGUUAAUACCUUUGCUCAUUGACGUUACCCGCAGAAGAAGCACCGGCUAACUCCGUG